UACGUAGGGGGCAAGCGUUGUCCGGAAUCAUUGGGCGUAAAGAGCGUGUAGGCGGUCCGAUAAGUCGGUUGUGAAAGUCAAGGGCUCAACCCUUGAAUGCCGACCGAUACUGUCGGGCUAGAGUCCGGAAGAGGCGAGUGGAAUUCCUGGUGUAGCGGUGAAAUGCGCAGAUAUCAGGAAGAACACCCGUGGCGAAGGCGGCUCUCUGGGACGGUACUGACGCUGAGACGCGAAAGCGUGGGGAGCGAACAGG
rnacentral:rRNA from 1 species